rnacentral:rRNA from 1 species
ACAGAUCGUUCAGAGUUUGAUCCUGGCUCAGGAUGAACGCUGGCGGCGUGCCUAACACAUGCAAGUUGAGCGAUUCUCUUCGGAGAAGAGCGGCGGACGGGUGAGUAACGCGUGGGUAACCUGCCCUAUACACACGGAUAACAUACCGAAAGGUAUGCUAAUACGAGAUAAUAUGUUUCAUUCGCAUGUUUGAAACAUCAAAGCUCCGGCGGUAUAGGAUGGACCCGCGUCUGAUUAGCUAGUUGGUGAGGUAACGGCUCACCAAGGCGACGAUCAGUAGCCGACCUGAGAGGGUGAUCGGCCACAUUGGAACUGAGACACGGUCCAA